rnacentral:rRNA from 1 species
GACGAGGGGUCCAAGCGUUGUUCGGAAUUACUGGGCGUAAAGCGCGCGUAGGCGGCUUUGUAAGUUAGAGGUGAAAGCCCGGGGCUCAACCCCGGAAUUGCCUUUAAGACUGCAUCGCUUGAAUCCGGGAGAGGUGAGUGGAAUUCCGAGUGUAGAGGUGAAAUUCGUAGAUAUUCGGAAGAACACCGGUGGCGAAGGCGGCUCUCGUGGACCGAGACUGACGGCUGAGGCGACGAAAGCGUGGGGAGCAAACAGGAUUA